rnacentral:rRNA from 1 species
GACGAAGGAUGCAAGCGUUAAUCGGAAUUACUGGGCGUAAAGGGUGCGCAGGCGGCUCCGCAUGUCGGGCGUGAAAUCCCCGGGCUUAACCCUGGAACUGCCAUUGAUACUGACGGGCUUGAGUUCGGUUAAGGCGGGCGGAACUGGUGGUGUAGCGGUGAAAUGCAUAGAUACCACCAAGAACCCCGAUUGCGUAGGCAGCUCGCUGAGCCGAAACUGACGCUGAGGCACGAAAGCGUGGGGAGCGAACAGG